rnacentral:rRNA from 1 species
UACGGGGGGAGCAAGCGUUGUUCGGAUUUACUGGGCGUAAAGGCGCGUAGGCGGCGCAACAAGUCACUUGUGAAAUCUCCGGGCUUAACCCGGAGCGGCCAAGUGAUACUGUCGUGCUAGAGUGCGGAAGGGGCUACUGGAAUUCUCGGUGUAGCGGUGAAAUGCGUAGAUAUCGAGAGGAACACCGGUGGCGAAGGCGGAUCUCUGGGCCGAUACUGACGCUGAGGAGCGAAAGCGUGGGGAGCGAACAGG